rnacentral:rRNA from 1 species
AUGGAGUGCGAGAACGUGCACGUCGCCGAUGGCUUGUUAGUGGCGCAGCCGGCGCGGGCUGACCCACUGAACUGGGGGAAGGCGGCGGAGGAGCUCUCGGGGAGCCAUUUGGAUGCGGUCAAGCGCAUGGUUGAGGAGUACCGUAGGCCCGUGGUGACCAUGGAGGGCGCCAGCCUCACCAUCGGCAUGGUCGCGACGGUGGCUGCCGGCGCCGUGACCAGGGUGGAGCUCGACGAGUCCGCCCGCGGCCGCGUCAAGGAGAGCAGCGGCUGGGUCAUGAACAGCAUGACUAACGGCACUGACAGCUACUACGGUGACGCGGCCUCCCACCGGACGACAAAGGAGGUCAGCGCUCUCCAGAGGGAGCUCGUCAGAUGCUUUAAUGCGGGAGCCUUCGACACCGGCAAAGAUGGCCAUGUUUUGCCUGCUGCGGCAACGAGAGCGGCGAUGCUCGUCCGUGUCAACACCUUGCUCCAGGGAUAUUCUGGCGUGCGCUUCGAGAUUCUCGAGACAAUCGUCACACUUCUCAACACCAACGUGACACCAUGCCUACCUCUCCGGGGCACACUCACUGCGUCCGGUGACCUCGUCCCGCUUUCCUAUAUUGCGUGCCUGGUAACCGGCCGCCCAAACUGUAUGGCCACAACUCCGGAUGGCACCAAGGUUAAUGCCGCGGAGGCAUUUAAGAUGGCCGGCAUCCAACAUGGCUUCUUCGAGCUGCAGCCCAAGGAAGGCCUUGCAAUGAUGAAUAGCACGGCGGUGGGCUCAGGGCUUGCGUCCAUGGUGCUUUUCGAGGCUAACAUCCUUGGUCUCCUUGCUGAGGUCCUGUCAGCCGUCUUCUGUGAGGUCAUGAACGGCAACCCGGAGUACACCGACCACUUGACCCACAAGCUGAAGCACCACCCCGGACAGAUCGAGGCCGCCGCCAUCAUGGAGCACAUUCUUGAAGGGAGCUCCUACAUGAUGCUCAAGAAGAAGCUCGACGAGCUUGACACACCAAUGAAGCCCAAACAAGAUAGGUAUGCACUCCGCACAUCACCGCAGUGGCUUGGCCCUCAGAUUGAGGUCAUCCUUUCUGCCACCAAGUCGAUUGAGCGGGAGAUCAACUCUGUCAACAACAACCCACUCAUCGACAUCUCCCGUGGCAAGGCUAUCCAUGGUGGAAACUUCCAGGGCACACCCAUUGGUGUGUCCAUGGACAACACCAGGCUUGCCAUUGCUGCUAUAGGCAAGCUCAUGUUUGCACAGUUCUCAGAGCUAGUGAACGACUUCUACAACAAUGGUUUGCCUUCCAACCUCUCCGGCGGGCGUAACCUGAGCUUGGACUAUGGCUUCAAGGGUGUCGAGAUUGCAAUGGCCUCAUACUGCUCUGAGCUUCAAUUCUUGGGAAACCCUGUGACUAACCAUGUCCAAAGUGCAGAGCAACACAACCAAGGUGUCAACUCUCUGCUGAUCUCCUCCAGGAAGACCACCGAGGCCAUUGACAUACUGAAGCUCAUGUCCUCGACAUUCUUGGUUGCAUUGUGCCAGGCUAGGAAGACACUGGUCACCAACAACAAUGGUCAUCUCCACAAUGCGCGCUUUUGCGAGAAGGACUUGCUGCUCACAGUCGACCGUGAGAUGGUCUUCACGUAUGCAGAUGACCCUUGCAGCGCCAACUACCCACUAAUGCAGAAGAUGCGUGCAGUCCUCGUGGAGAAUGCCUUGGCCAAUGGUGAGGCCGAGCGCGAUGUGGAGACAUCAGUGUUUGCUAAACUUGCCAUGUUCGAGCAAGAGCUCCGUGCAGUGCUGCCAAAGGAGGUUGAGGCUGCCCGGAGUGCCAUGGAGAACGGUACUGCCGCACAGCAGAAUCGUAUCAUUGAAUGCCGAUCAUACCCGCUCUACCGGUUCGUGCGCAAGGAGCUUGGGACAGAGUACUUGACCGGGGAGAAGACAAGGUCUCCUGGUGAAGAGGUGGACAAGGUGUUUGUUGCCAUGAACAAGCACAUCGACGCACUGCUGGAGUGUCUCAAAGAGUGGAACGGUGAGCCUCUUCCAAUCCGCUGA